rnacentral:lncRNA from 1 species
GUACAUACCUAAGCACAUAUCCAACAAGGAGGGACCAGCAAACUACCAACCCAACAAACAAACAUUGACAAACCCAAAACAUUUCAUGAUAAACAGCAAAAGCAGAAAACAAACAUCAAAGAUAUAUAUCAAUAAGCUUUUCUUCUAGGGACUGCCACUAGUCUUCUCACUCUCCUCCCCACCAUUCUUGUGAUAGCCGGGUAUCUUCUCCAUGAUCUUCCCCAGUAUGCCCUUCUUCUCCUUCCCAUCUUGUCCAUCAGCUUCAUGCUCCUUCUCAUGGCCGGUGCACUCUGCAGCUGGGGCCGCAGGGGGGGCGGCGGCGGCGGCAGCCUCCUCAGGCUUCUUGUGGUGGCCGGGGAGCUUCUCUUUGAUCUUGUCCAGGAAACCUUUCUUCUCCUCCUCUGGGGCUUCCUCCACUUUAAGACUCUCGUUCACCUUCUCCACCUUGACUGCAGUGUC